rnacentral:rRNA from 1 species
CUCCGCGAAAACUAUUUAGGUAGUGCGUCAUGUAUCACCACUGGGGGUAGAGCACUGUUUCGGCUAGGGGGUCAUCCCGACUUACCAACCCGAUGCAAACUCCGAAUACCAGUGAGUGCGAGCAUGGCAGACAGACGGCGGGUGCUAACGUCCGUCGUCAAGAGGGAAACAACCCAGACCGCCAGCUAAGGUCCCCAAAUCACAGUUAAGUGGGAAACGAUGUGGGAAGGCACAGACAGCUAGGAGGUUGGCUUAGAAGCAGCCACCCUUUAAAGAAAGCGUAAUAGCUCACUAGUCGAGUCGGCCCGCGCGGAAGAUGUAACGGGGCUCAAACUGUGUACCGAAGCUGCGGAUAUGAUUGCUCUCAUGGGCUUUCAUAUGGUAGCGGAGCGUUCUGUAAGCCUGUGAAGGUGUAUCGUAAGGUAUGCUGGAGGUAUCAGAAGUGCGAAUGCUGACAUGAGUAACGAUAAGGGGGGUGAAAAACCCCCCCGCCGGAAGACCAAGGUUUCCUGCGCAACGCUAAUCGGCGCAGGGUAAGUCGGCCCCUAAGGCGAGGGCGAAAGCCGUAGUCGAUGGGAAGCAGGUUAAUAUUCCUGCACUUAUAUUUAUUGCGAUGGAGGGACGGAGAAGGCUAGGCUAGCGCGGCGAUGGUUGUCCGCGUUUAAGCGUGUAGGCUGGGGGAUUAGGCAAAUCCGGUCCCCCUUAAGGCUGAGGCGUGAUGACGAACGAGAUCUUUGGAUCUCGGAAGUAGUUGAUGCCAUGCUUCCAGGAAAAGCUUCUAAGCUUCAGAUAAAUGUGAACCGUACCCCAAACCGACACAGGUGGUCAGGUAGAGAAUACCAAGGCGCUUGAGAGAACUCGGGUGAAGGAACUAGGCAAAAUGGUACCGUAACUUCGGGAGAAGGUACGCCCCUUUUGGUGAUCGGACUUGCUCCGUAAGCUGAAGGGGGUCGAAGAUACUAGGUGGCUGCGACUGUUUACUAAAAACACAGCACUCUGCAAACACGUAAGUGGACGUAUAGGGUGUGACGCCUGCCCGGUGCCGGAAGGUUAAUUGAUGGGGUUAUCUUCGGAGAAGCUCUUGAUCGAAGCCCCGGUAAACGGCGGCCGUAACUAUAACGGUCCUAAGGUAGCGAAAUUCCUUGUCGGGUAAGUUCCGACCUGCACGAAUGGCGUAACGAUGGCCACACUGUCUCCACCCGAGACUCAGUGAAAUUGAAUUUGCGGUUAAGAUGCCGUAUACCCGCGGCUAGACGGAAAGACCCCGUGCACCUUUACUAUAGCUUUACACUGGACUUUGAUUUUACUUGUGUAGGAUAGGUGGGAGACUUUGAAGCAAUCACGCUAGUGGUUGUGGAGUCGCCCUUGAAAUACCACCCUGGUAACGUCGAGGUUCUAACUUAGGUCCGUGAUCCGGAUUGAGGACAGUGUAUGGUGGGUAGUUUGACUGGGGCGGUCUCCUCCCAAAGAGUAACGGAGGAGCGCGAAGGUACCCUCAGCAUGGUCGGAAAUCAUGCAAUGAGUGCAAUGGCAUAAGGGUGCUUGACUGCGAGACGGACAGGUCGAGCAGGUACGAAAGUAGGUCAUAGUGAUCCGGUGGUUCUGUAUGGAAGGGCCAUCGCUCAACGGAUAAAAGGUACGCCGGGGAUAACAGGCUGAUACCGCCCAAGAGUUCACAUCGACGGCGGUGUUUGGCACCUCGAUGUCGGCUCAUCACAUCCUGGGGCUGAAGCCAGUCCCAAGGGUAUGGCUGUUCGCCAUUUAAAGUGGUACGCGAGCUGGGUUUAGAACGUCGUGAGACAGUUCGGUCCCUAUCUGCCGUGGGCGUUUGAGAUUUGAGAGGAGCUGCUCCUAGUACGAGAGGACCGGAGUGGACGAACCUCUGGUGUUCCGGUUGUGAUGCCAAUUGCAUUGCCGGGUAGCUAUGUUCGGACAGGAUAACCGCUGAAAGCAUCUAAGCGGGAAGCCCCCCUCAAGAUUAGAUCUCACUGGGAACUUGAUUCCCCUAAAGGACCCUCGAAGACUACGAGGUUGAUAGGCUGGGUGUGUAAGCGCUGCGAGGCGUUGAGCUAACCAGUACUAAUUGUCCGUGAGGCUUGAUCAU